rnacentral:rRNA from 1 species
GACGAACGCUGGCGGCGUGCUUAACACAUGCAAGUCGAACGGAAAGGCCCUGCUUUUGUGGGGUGCUCGAGUGGCGAACGGGUGAGUAACACGUGAGUAACCUGCCCUUGACUUUGGGAUAACUUCAGGAAACUGGGGCUAAUACCGGCUAGGAGCUCCUGCUGCAUGGUGGGGGUUGGAAAGUUUCGGCGGUUGGGGUUGGACUCGCGGCUUAUCAGCUUGUUGGUGGGGUAGUGGCUUACCAAGGCUUUGACGGGUAGCCGGCCUGAGAGGGUGACCGGCCACAUUGGGACUGAGAUACGGCCCAGACUCCUAAGGGAGGCAGCAGUGAGGAAUAUUGCACAAUGGGCUGAAGCCUGAUGCAGCAACGCCGCGUGCGGGAUGACGGCCUUCGGGUUGUAAACCGCUUUCGCCUGUGACGAAGCGUGAGUGACGGUAAUGGGUAAAGAAGCACCGGCUAACUACGUG